rnacentral:rRNA from 1 species
UACGUAGGGGGCAAGCGUUGUCCGGAUUUAUUGGGCGUAAAGAGCGUGUAGGCGGCCACACAGGUCUGCUGUGAAAACUCAGGGCUUAACCCUGAGCCUGCAGUGGGUACGGGCAGACUAGAGUGUGGUAGGGGAGAUCGGAAUUCCUGGUGUAGCGGUGGAAUGCGCAGAUAUCAGGAGGAACACCGGUGGCGAAGGCGGAUCUCUGGGCCAUAACUGACGCUGAGGAGCGAAAGCAUGGGGAGCGAACAGG